rnacentral:rRNA from 1 species
GACGAACGCUGGCGGCGUGCCUAAUACAUGCAAGUCGAACGCUUCCUACCGGUGCUUGCACCGGGAAAGAAGAGUGGCGGACGGGUGAGUAACACGUGGGUAACCUACCUAUAAGCGGGGGAUAACAUUCGGAAACGGAUGCUAAUACCGCAUAGAUCUUCUUGUCUCCUGACAGAAAGAAGAAAGACGGUUUCGGCUGUCACUUGUAGAUGGACCCGCGGCGCAUUAGUUAGUUGGUGAGGUAAUGGCUCACCAAGACGAUGAUGCGUAGCCGACCUGAGAGGGUGAUCGGCCACACUGGGACUGAGACACGGCCCAGACUCCUACGGGAGGCAGCAGUAGGGAAUCUUCCGCAAUGGACGAAAGUCUGACGGAGCAACGCCGCGUGAGUGAAGAAGGUUUUCGGAUCGUAAAACUCUGUUGUUAGAGAAGAACAAGGAUGGGAGUAACUGCUCGUCCCUUGACGGUAUCUAACCAGAAAGCCAUGGCUAACUACGUGCCAGCCGCCGCUGUAA